UGUCCACUUUCAAAAAAAACAAGACGACGACAGCCAAAUUGCCAAACUCAAGGCCUUAAAACGGCAGUCCACAAACCAAUGGGUGACAUCACUGCUGCUACGUCCACUAUUUUUACACUCGAUGCAUUGCAUCCAAAUUAGUU